CAACGCCGCGUGGAGGAUGAAAUCCCUUGGGAUGUAAACUCCUUUCGAUAGGGAAGAUAAUGACGGUACCUAUAGAAGAAGCCCGGCUAACUUCGUGC
rnacentral:rRNA from 1 species